AGAGAGAGAGUUGCGACACUUCCAUUGGACUCCGUUGUAGCGCCUACUUCCGGGGUAUGGAGCCUCGAAUAGUUCCAAACAACCAUUUUACGGCGGAGGAGACCGUUCAUUUCCAUUGCUGGCCGCCGAGUAACUUCUGAGGGUGAUGUUCAGCACAUGAAGCCCUACAGAUGCCGCCGAUUCAACAAUGCUGAUUAUGAUGGGCGGUCAAUUUAACCUUUGCCUUAUUAGGUCCUCCACAGUCGCCCCAUCAGUCCCUGGCAGUCUGGUCCCUGGAGCAGCUGGCCCUGGCAAAAGUUAUUCCUUCACUGUUGACCCCUGACUGACUGGCCCUCGGCACACAAAUCCCUGGAUCACCUGCCCCUGGAUCACCUGCCCCUGGCAAUGUAACCUCUUGAUUGCUCUCUCCGUCUCCUGUGAUGUCCUUUUCAACGCUCUUGAAAUCCACCUCAAUUUCUCCCUCAAUCUCUGUAAUAAUUACAAGGUAAUGUUGCUGUUAUAUGUAUUUUGCCUUUGCAUUUGCAACUACUGUCAUCUCCAAUGUAAUAAAAUGAAUUAAAGCAAAACAUUUCUGUAAUGUGAAUUAAAUCAUCUGCCACAAUCAGAAACCAAUACAAUUUAUAAAUGGAUCUACCGGCAAUUGUUAAUUGGGUAGAAAUGUGUCGAUUAUCUACAUUGUGUGCAAAUCCUCAGAGAA